CACCUCACCAACUGGUCCGCCCCAGGAACAACUUCAGGCUGGCUCACCACCUUGGGAGAGUAAUCUUAGAGUAUUCCAGAAGAUGUCCCCCAGAAUCCCAAGGGCACCAGCAGUUAAAACUUUCAAAUAGAAGCAUUGAUAAGAAUGAAACAGCAAUACAAGAUUUACUUCCACAAGCCAACUGAUGGAGAAACCCCAGGAAUAAGUUUUAUUCAAAACCCGUCACCUCGAACAUCACCUUCCUGCAGCCUGUUUCAGAGCACAAUCCUCAAAGAAAAGGAAACAUUGCUGAAUGGUACACCACAAAUGGUGUAAAUUAGUCAACAGGAAGCAUGUCCAUCACAGGGAGAGAAUGUAGACUUCUCACACGCCAUCAGGGAGCCUUGAGCUUGAACUCCAUCUUCCCGUAGUUCAUUACCUCGGCACUCUUCACUCUUGACUUUUGUUCUGCUUUAUAAAGGAAAGAGAAUAACUUCAAUUCCAC